rnacentral:rRNA from 1 species
AUUGAACGCUGGUGGCAGGCCUAACACAUGCAAGUCGAGCGGAUGAGGGGAGCUUGCUCCCUGAUUUAGCGGCGGACGGGUGAGUAAUGCCUAGGAAUCUGCCUGGUAGUGGGGGAUAACGUUCCGAAAGGAACGCUAAUACCGCAUACGUCCUACGGGAGAAAGCAGGGGACCUUCGGGCCUUGCGCUAUCAGAUGAGCCUAGGUCGGAUUAGCUAGUUGGUGAGGUAAUGGCUCACCAAGGCGACGAUCCGUAACUGGUCUGAGAGGAUGAUCAGUCACACUGGAACUGAGACACGGUCCAGACUCCUACGGGAGGCAGCAGUGGGGAAUAUUGGACAAUGGGCGAAAGCCUGAUCCAGCCAUGCCGCGUGUGUGAAGAAGGUCUUCGGAUUGUAAAGCACUUUAAGUUGGGAGGAAGGGCUGCUGGUUAAUACCCUGCAGUUUUGACGUUACCAACAGAAUAAGCACCGGCUAACUUCGUG